rnacentral:rRNA from 1 species
GACGAACGCUGGCGGCGUGCUUAACACAUGCAAGUCGAACGCUGAAGCACCUAGCUUGCUGGGUGUGGAUGAGUGGCGAACGGGUGAGUAACACGUGAGUAACCUGCCCCUGACUUCGGGAUAAGCCUGGGAAACUGGGUCUAAUACCGGAUAUGACUACUGGCCGCAGGGUCUGGUGGUGGAAAGGGUUUUACUGGUUGGGGAUGGACUCGCGGCAUAUCAGUUUGUUGGUGGGGUAGUGGCCUACCAAGACGACGACGGGUAGCCGGCCUGAGAGGGCGACCGGCCACACUGGGACUGAGACACGGCCCAGACUCCUACGGGAGGCAGCAGUGGGGAAUAUUGCACAAUGGGGGGAACCCUGAUGCAGCGACGCCGCGUGCGGGAUGACGGCCUUCGGGUUGUAAACCGCUUUCAGUAGGGAAGAAGCGAAAGUGACGGUACCUGCAGAAGAAGUACCGGCUAACUACGUGCCAGCCGCCGCUGUAACAC